UUUUAUGAAUGACUAAAGAAAGUGGUUUCUUGAUAUGGAAGCUACUUCUGGUGAAGAUGCUGUGAA
rnacentral:pre_miRNA from 1 species